CGGGGGGGGGGGGGGGGGGGGCGGGUGGAACCCCGGGAAGGGAAGGAAGACACAGUUACCAUGUGUGUGCAGGUCCCCCCUGGGGCACUCCUUGCCUCUGGGGUGAACUGGGGAUCGUUUUCUGUCUAGUAAGUUCCAGGGGCGGGGGGGGGGGGGGGGGGGGGCAUUUCUAGUCUUUCCAGUCUGGGGAAUUCGGGGACCAAGUGUCAAGAAACCCAUUAAAACAUUGUUUAAUGCUUUGGUGAGUUGUUUUAAUAAACUUUUUUCUUUUUUUCUUU